rnacentral:lncRNA from 1 species
GGCUGACUGCCGCAGAGAAUCAAAUACACGCCCCAUCAGAUUUUCGUUUUUCUGCUCCUUCACAUUCCAAAACCUAAGGCUUCAUCUUCUUAACAAAACCAGUUGCAGAUUUUAAAAAACAAUUAGUCACAUUCCUUCCUCUCCAUUUUCAAGAAAAAGACCAAAGGAGAUUGAACACACAAUACAAUGAGGGGCCGCUCUUCUUCAGUAGACAAAAAUAGGAAGAACCCUCCUAUCAUCUUCCUUCUUCUUCACCUCAUAGCAGAUCGGUUGCUGCUCUUUCACAACCAAAAAUGGCCAGAAACUGGCAACCACUCACAUACGAACAGUAAAGAGGAACAUAGAGGGAUUUGAUCUGAUUAUUGUCGGUCGAUUCUUGUCUCCAAGGUUGUGUUCGCAGUUCUGAAUUCAAUGGUUGAUUAUUCCAUUCAGUAUAUAUGGAGCUCGUUGUUUGAUUUCCUUGCUUGCAUCACAUCCAGACAGAAGUUUUAAUUGAAACCCCCUUAAAGUUUCAUUCUUUUCCCCUUUAUUUCUGUUUGGUAUUGAUGUUAAUAUGAUAUGAGCCUAGGCUCCAUUGCAUGAAUUUCCUUCAACACACGUGCCUUGUUUUACUUUGGUGUCCGAACGUUUAUAUGGAAUCUGUUCAACUCCAACAUGGUUGAUCGAGGCUCUAUUUGAUUGUAUGAUUAUGUGAGUUCGUAAGACAUGUUAGAUUACUAUUAGAAGUAGUUAGAU